AUCCAGCUGACGAGUCCCAAAUAGGACAAAACGCUAGUCCUGGAU
rnacentral:hammerhead_ribozyme from 1 species